rnacentral:rRNA from 1 species
GUGCCAGCCGCCGCGGUAAUACGUAGGUGGCAAGCGUUAUCCGGAAUUAUUGGGCGUAAAGAGAGAGCAGGCGGUCAUUUAAGUCUGAAGUCAAAAGCAGUAGCUCAACUAUUGUUCGCUUUGGAUACUGGAUGGCUAGAGUUCGAGAGAAGUAAGCGGAACUCCAUGUGUAGCGGUGAAAUGCGUAGAUAUAUGGAAGAACACCAGUGGCGAAGGCGGCUUACUAGCUCGAUACUGACGCUCAGUCUCGAAAGCGUGGGUAGCAAAUAGGAUUAGAUACCCUAGUAGUCCACGCCGUAAACGAUGAGUACUAGGUGUUGGGGAAACUCAGCGCCGAAGCUAACGCAAUAAGUACUCCGCCUGGGUAGUACGUUCGCAAGAAUGAAACUUAAAGGAAUUGACGGGGGCCCGCACAAGCAGUGGAGCAUGUGGUUUAAUUCGACGCUACGCGAAGAACCUUACCAGGACUUGACAUCUGAUUAAAGGCUCUAGAGAUAGAGAGAUAGUUAUAGUCAAGACAGGUGGUGCAUGGUUGUCGUCAGCUCGUGUCGUGAGAUGUUGGGUUAAGUCCCGCAACGAGCGCAACCCUUGUCCUUAGUUACCAUCAUUAAGUUGGGGACUCUAGGGAGACCGCCGGUUUAAGCCGGAGGAAGGUGGGGAUGACGUCAAAUCAUCAUGCCCUUUAUGUCCUGGGCGACACACGUGCUACAAUGGCCGGUACAAAGAGACGCGAUACCGCGAGGUGGAGCAAAUCUCAUAAAGCCGGUCUCAGUUCGGAUUGGAGUCUGCAACUCGACUCCAUGAAGUUGGAAUUGCUAGUAAUCGCGAAUCAGCCAUGUCGCGGUGAAUACGUUCCCGGGCCUUGUACACACCGCCCGU